rnacentral:rRNA from 1 species
AACGAACGCUGGCGGCAAGCCUAACACAUGCAAGUCGAACGGACAAUUAUUUAUAGCUUUUGGCUAUAGGCAAUUGUUAGUGGCAGACGGGUGAGUAAUGCGUAGGAAUCUACCUAGUAGUACGGAAUAGCCAUUAGAAAUGAUGGGUAAUACUGUAUAAUCCCCGCGGGGGAAAGAUUUAUCGCUAUUAGAUGAGCCUACGUUAGAUUAGCUAGUUGGUAAGGUAAUGGCUUACCAAGGCUAUGAUCUAUAGCUGGUCUGAGAGGACGAUCAGCCACACUGGAACUGAGAUACGGUCCAGACUCCUACGGGAGGCAGCAGUGGGGAAUAUUGGACAAUGGGCGAAAGCCUGAUCCAGCUAUGCCGCGUGAGUGAAGAAGGCCUUCGGGUUGUAAAACUCUUUCAAUAGGGAAGAUAAUGACGGUACCUAU